rnacentral:rRNA from 1 species
UACGAAGGGGGCUAGCGUUGCUCGGAAUUACUGGGCGUAAAGGGAGCGUAGGCGGGUUAUCAAGUUGGAGGUGAAAGCCCAGGGCUCAACCUUGGAAUUGCCUUCAAAACUGAUAACCUAGAGGAUGAUAGAGGUAAGUGGAACUCCGAGUGUAGAGGUGAAAAUUCGUAGAUAUUCGGAAGAACACCAGUGGCGAAGGCGACUUACUGGAUCAUUACUGACGCUGAGGCUCGAAAGCGUGGGGAGCAAACAGG